rnacentral:tRNA from 1 species
GCCUCGGUGGCUUGGUGGUCAGGACACCUGACUGCCAAUCCAUAGGUCCCGGGUUCAAAUCCCGGUAGUGGCA